CACGGGGUUCAGAGUUUCACCCCCCCCACACACACCACACCGCCUUGGUGGCAGACAGACCAGAACAGUGCGUGGCCUGGGCCCCAUCAGGCACCCCUGGACUGUGUGCAGCUCACAGCAUGGGGUUUCCGGCCCCACUCCAACUACUGCUGUGCCUCUCUUUCCUCAUCUCGGAGAUUGAGGUCUCUGCCUCAGGGCACGUGUGUCCCUGGGAGGUUCGUGUCUGGCCCACACAGUGGGGCAGGUGGCCCAGGGGCCUUGGCUUUAGGUGGGAGAGGCCACCCUGAGCCAGGAGGCCCGUGAGUGUGACCAGCCGGUACCGGCCACAAGUGUCACCUUCCGUACCCUUUCAGUGACUGUCCACACCUGGAACCCCCCCCCCACACACACACCUUGGGUCAGGGUACUGGGUCAUCUGUUCGCUUGGUCUUAGAGCAAGGCAGAAAUACUUGGAAAAAAAUUAAGCAGCAUAGAAAUGCUAAAAGUAAUUUAAAAACACCUUGAAACAGACCCUCCUUCUGGACAUAAAUAUGAAGCCGUUUGAUUUAGAUUUUCCAUAAAAGGAAAGCUGACGGUGAAGCCCCGUACCUCCCUCCCCAGCCCCGCAUCCCCCUUCCAGCCGUGGCCACCAGAAUUUUAGUCUCUUUCUGCCUGUGGCUCUAACCCUGCCCACCGGUGUCAGCAGCCAUAAAGCCCAUUUCAUUCAUGAUUUUAUCGACCUCUAAAAUUUUGCCUCAACUGUAGCAUGCUGUACUCAGCAUGCACUUUCCUUCGGUGUAGGUUUUUUGAGAACUCCAUCGUGGCUCCACAUAGGUUUGGUUGGUUUGCUUCAGCUGCUGCAUGGCAUGCAACCUAGAACCAACCACAAGUGGUCCACGGCCUUGCUAGCUGAGGACGUGGCUUUUCGGUUUUUCGCUGUUGACCAAAGCUGGGCUGCCGGGAGCAGGUGCACGCACGGCCGGCGGGCCAUGGCUGGGCACCCAUCCGGAAGCCCGUGGACUGCGCCGGUCACCGUCACCACUGGAAGCGGGGAGGAAGCGGGAGGGGGCGACCGGGAAGUGGCGGGACGUGGCCCCCCCGCGGCGGGGGCAGGGGUCUGGGGACCCGGGGCGCCGAGGGCCAGGCGGGGGGGGGGGGGGGGGGGCCCCCCCCCCCCCGCUCAGGAAGACCGCGGCAGCGACUCCGCGAGAGCAGCUCGAGCGGCCACGGGCCGCGGGCAGGACACGGGGGGAACCGGGGCGUCCGGGUCUGGAGGGGUCCCCGGCGCGGCCCCACCCGGCGAGCGCACGGCCGCUCGCAGCCCCGGACGCCGGGCUCUCUCCUGCCGCAGAGGGACCCGCGCUCCUACCGUUUCUCCGCGGACUCCGCUCACCGGCCCCCCACCCCAGCCCCUCUCCGUCCGGGUGCGCGGUGCCGCGCGGGCCGGCUCCCCACGCUCGCUCGGCGGCUCCGCUGGCGCUGGGGCCCGGGGGCGCAGCGGGGGGCGCGGGAGGCUCGGAGGGGGCGGGGGCAGCGCUAGCCCCACCCCCGCCACGUGACGGCGGGCCAAUCCUCGGCCCCCUGGAGGCCGGUCGGUGACCGGAGAGAUGAGCCCGAGGACCCGCGCCGGGAGCCAGGCCCACCCACCGGCGCGCCGACCCCGGGCGUGUCGCCGCUGAGGCCGAUGCCGCUCCCAGCUCAGCCCCUCCUCCGGCCCCGUCCUGUGGCGGUCAAAGAGGUUGGACAGUCCUGGAGGCACCGCCCGGGGGCAGCUGGCGAAGGACACCCACCAUGUCACGGGAGCUUCUGGACCAGCGUGGGAUGGGCUCCCGGCUGUAGCCCCGUCUUCCCAGCUCUCCUCAACUUCUCCCCCAGGCACCUGCCCCCCCCACCCCCACCCCUCAGCUUCUGCUGGGCCCGGAGGAGCCCAGAUGCCUGGAAAGGCAGCAUGAGGGCCACCGGAGAGUGUCCUGGGGAUGGGCUCAUCCAUCCCUGGAGGGCCUCACCCACGCCUUCUGCCCCAACUGGCACCCCCCCCCAGAUCGGAACAGCGUCG